rnacentral:rRNA from 1 species
AUUGAACGCUGGCGGCAGGCCUAACACAUGCAAGUCGAACGGUAACAGGAAACAGCUUGCUGUUUCGCUGUCGAGUGGCGGACGGGUGUGUAAUGUCUGGGAAACUGCCUGAUGGAGGGGGAUAACUACUGGAAACGGUAGCAAAUACCGCAUAACGUCGCAAGCCCAAAGAGCGGGACCCUCGGGCCGUUUGCCAUCGGCUGUGCCCUGAUGGGAUUAGCUUGUUGGUGGGGUAACGGCUCACCAAGGCCACGAUCCCUAGCUGGUCUGAGAGGAUGACCAGCCACACUGGAACUGAGACACGGUCCAGACUCCUACGGGAGGCAGCAGUAGGGAAUAUUGCACAAUGGGCGCAAGCCUGAUGGAGCCAUGCCGCGUGUAUGAAGAAGGCCUUCGGGUUGUAAAGUUCUGUCAGCGGGGAGGAAGGGAGUAAAGUUAAUACCUUUGCUCAUUGACGUUACCCGCAGAAGAAGCACCGGCUAACUCCGUG